GGCUGAGGAAACCUUUGACCUUCCCUGAUCCAUAGUGGAUGGUGAAUUCAGUCCCAUUCUCCAUGUAGCUAGAGGAUUCCGAGGAGUCAUAGAGGUUGUGAAUCUCUAGCAGAGGAACACAGGCUCCAAUCAGCACACUCCUCGGCUGCACGUAGGAGUUCUACAGAGCGCUCUGGUGCUCUCUGCCUCAGUCAGACAUGGUGUGGAAGGAGUGGGGACUGCUCGGCCCAGAGAGAAGGAAAUAGCAGAUGAACCAGCACUCACAUCCAAGUAGUUGGAUUUCCCGGACCGAGGGCAUUUUCUUGAGCAAGAUUCUGCUCCAGGAUAGAGGAAGAAAAACAGAAGAGUCCUGUAGUACUCCAAUGUCAGCAGAAACCAGAGGCUGCCUUUUUUUUUUUUUUUUUUUUUUUUUUUUUUUUUUUUUUGCUACAUCUAUCACUAACCCUCUCCCAUGCAAUUACGAAUCACUUUUUGUGCCCUGGGGUUUCUGCAGGAGAAGGUACGAGCUUCUUGGAGUCACUUAUUCUGGUACUAAAUAAUUCCCAGAUCGUAUUUUAGUUAAAUAAGGCAGUUUGUCCAUCCGUCUGUCUGUCCGUCUGUCCAUCCGUCCAUUCAUCCAUACAUCCACCCACCCACCCACCCACCUACCCACCCACCCACCCACCCAUCCAUCAUUAUCAUCAUGUGUUGAAACACCUACUCUGUGCCUCACUGUUCUGGAUAGGAACAUAAAGGUCUAUACUGCCUCUUGCUAUCGCCUCUGAUUGACAGGGGAGGCAGUACCAGGGGUGGCCUGUAGGUGGCAGAAGAUGCCCACAGCAGGCUGCAAGGACUUGGUACCCCCUAGGGUGUCACAGAGCCAGGUGGUAUGUACCCACUGCACCCAGUCUGCCUCGGGUAGACCAGUGUCUGUAGAUUGCCUGUGUGCCUCACCUGGGGAUUGAUGUGUCUUGGGCCUGAACCCCCAGACUCCUCACCUCAAAUCAGUUGUCCUCCAAUCAUCACUGACUGGGGAAAUUCAAGAGAUUUAAUUUUGAACAGCGGCCCGCUGAGCUGCUACUGGCUGCAGACCAGCUGCCUGGCACGCGCCCUCAUACAAACCACAUGACAGCUAGCUCCCUGUUUUCCAGCCAAGACAUUGCAGCUUCAUAGGACUGAAGAUGACUCAGAAAUGCCAAGCAGAGACAGUCCAUGCUCUGUCUGUCUGUCUGUCUUUCCUACCAGGGCUGCCAGGCACAGAGAGGCAUGGAGACUGUUUUUUGUCUGGAGGAAGAUGCCGCCAGCCCUGGGUCAGGGCUUUCCCAGACACCCAGAGAGCCUUCUUUGUUCUCCAACGUGAGCCCUAACCUUCCUCCUGGCACUCCACGCCCUCACCUCCCUGCUUUACUUAUAUUUCACACCUCUCUGUGCAAUCUCUAGCAGAAACAGUCCCAUCACAGCUUACGAGUGUUUUCACUCCUGUUUUAUUUGACCCCAGCCAUUCCAUCAGAUGGGUGUUUUUUAUUUCCCCACUUUACAAAGGAGGAGAAGGGAAUAUAUAUCCAAAAAGGUCUAUUUCCCACCAUCUCCUGAAAAGACCCAUGCUUUUCUGUACUUUACGGACCCUUCCUCUUUUAGAAAACCCCUCUGUGGUGUGGUGGCACAUGCCUUUAACUUCAGCCUUCAGGAGGCAAAGGAAGGCUGAUUUUGCGAGUUUGAGGACAGCCAGGUCUAUAGAGUGAGUUCCGGGCUCCGUUGGGAGGCUCUGUCCCAAAAGAAGAUAAACAUAAAACCUGCUUCUGUUCCUCUCC